rfam:Gossypium hirsutum cultivar TM-1 unplaced genomic scaffold scaffold2101.1, whole genome shotgun sequence
UGUUAAAAAUUUCAUCUAUUUGUACUGUUAAGAACUGAUGUGAAUGACAGAAUAACCAAACAAUGACAUCUGGUGUGCCAAAUGUACGUCAUGCUGAAGUACGCAAACCAAAAUUUAACUGUAUAAAUGGAUGGAAUUUUUAACA